UACACUGAACAAAAGCUCCUGCCUUAAAUUGAAUGAUUAGUAAUUCACAUGGCUGCAAAUCUUCAUAUUCCUCUUUUCGAAUGAUUAUUAAACAAUAUGAUGCAUCCGCAGACUGUUGAACAAAAAUCAUCCAUUUUUAUGAUGACUUUCAGUAUAUAUCCGUAUGACAAUGUGUUGAUAGUUGAACUUCAACAACACAAAUGAAUAACAUGCAAUUUAUGAUGGAUUUUCAUUUCUGCCAUAUCCCAAAUCGAAAAUCAUUCAGUUAUAGUUUAAAACUUCAUUUGGAAAGCAAAUGAUCCUAGAAUUGAAAUCAUCCUUGUCAAUCAAAACAAAAACAUUGCGGCAGCAGCGGGACUUAGCAUUUCUUCGCGGAUUUCGCAGGUGACCAAGAACAACUCAUCGCCUAUAUCCAGCGACUUUGGUGUGGGUAAUGCGGACACUUAAUGAUCGCUUCGAGCAGAUUUAUUACAGGCAGCUCAUUAGUGUGUUGAUUGUUAACAAGUGUAAUCCAUCCGCCCCGUUGCACAUAUUCCCACAGAUUUUUAUAUGUAUUGUCAUAAUAAUCAAAAUAAAAGAUGAUUUGUCGAUAUUA